rnacentral:rRNA from 1 species
UAAUACGUAGGGUGCGAGCGUUGUCCGGAAUUACUGGGCGUAAAGGGCGCGCAGGCGGCAGACCAAGUCAGAUGUGAAAUAGCUCGGCUUAACCGGGCGGGGUCAUUUGAAACUGGUCAGCUAGAGUACAGCAGAGGUUAGCGGAAUUCCCGGUGUAGUGGUGAAAUGCGUAGAGAUCGGGAGGAACACCAGAGGCGAAGGCGGCUAACUGGGCAUGUACUGACGCUGAGGCGCGAAGGCUAAGGGAGCAAACAGGAUUAGAUACCCUGGUAGUCUUAGCAGUAAACGAUGAAUACUAGGUGUCGGGGGAUUGACCCCCUCGGUGCCACAGCAAACGCAAUAAGUAUUCCGCCUGGGGAGUACGGUCGCAAGAUUA